CGGGCCCCGGCGGCGGGCGGUGCCGGUCGCCAUGGCGGCGGCGCGGCUGUGGGUGAAGACGGAGCCGUUCGUGGUGGGGGUCCUGCCCGCCCCGCCGCCCGCCCGCCUCGGCCCGCACUACCUCCGGAAGAUGUCGGCUUACUGCCGAGCGCGGGCGGGCGAGGGCUGCUUCCCGCGGCUGUCGUGGCCCCGCUGGCGGCACAUCGCCUGCGGCAAGCUGCAGCUGGACCGCGGCCUGGCCUGGCUCUACUUCGAGCUCUUCCACAGCGUCCUCCGGCCCGACCCGCCGCGCCGCCUGGAGUGGGCCGAGGCCGAGGCGGCCUGCGGCAGCGCCGAGGAGCUGGAGCGGGAGCGGAGCAAGCUGUCGGUGGACACGCUGCAGUUCCUGCUCUUCCUGUACAUCCAGCAGGUGAGCAAGGUGUCUCUGCGGAGGUCUCUGAUCGGGGAGGAGUGGCCCAGCCCCCGGACCAAGUCUCCCAGCCUGAGUGGAAAAUCCGCCAGCGAGAACAAGAUCUGGAAUGAUCAGGACCACCGUGCCUUUGUGCAGAGCCACCUCUUGGAGAUGCUUGAACUGCUGCUGGAGCCCGAGCAGCUCAGUGCCUCCUCCCAUUCAACCCACACUAGCUUGGUGUCCUACGAAGCCGUCUGUGCCCUCAGCUUCCUUAUUGAAGGGACCGUGAACAAAUCCAGGGCGGUCCAUCCUCUGCACGAGCUCGCCCUCUGGCAGUCCUGUCCCGGGCAGAAUGGCUACUCCAAGGUCUCCAGAGCCUUCCCUUUCCCCAAGCUGGAGAGCUGGCUGCGGUCUUGCCUGAUGACAAACCCUUUUGGAAUGACUGCGUGCCUCAAGUCCGGGAAGAAACUCGCAUGGGCACAGCAAGUUGAAGGAACAACCAGGAGAGCAAAGAUUGCCUGCAACACUCGUGUGGUGCCUGAGGUGUUUCCCAUGGUGAUAAUGAGCCAGGUGUACAAGCAGACGCUGGCCAAGAGCUCGGACACCCUGGUGGGGGCUCAUGUAAGAAUUCAUCGCUGCAAUGAGUCCUUCAUUUACCUCCUCUCUCCGCUCCGAUCUGUGACCAUCGAGAAGUGCCGGAAUAGCACUUUUGUCCUCGGCCCUGUGCAGGCGUCUGUGCACGUCCACAGCUGUGACAACAUCAAGGUCAUCGUGGUUUGCCAUCGUUUGUCCCUUUCUUCCACUGCUGGCUGUACUUUUUACACUCUCACACCUACCCAGCCUCUCAUCCUCUCAGGGAACCAAGCAGUCAGCUUUGCCCCUUUCCACACCCACUAUCCGAUGCUUGAAGACCACAUGGCUCAGGUGGGCUUGGCCACUCUGCCAAACUACUGGGACAGUCCCAUGCUGGUGUGCAAGGAGAGCAGUGACAUGAGUGUCUUCCGCCUCCUGCCACCCUCAGACUUCUACACCUUCGUGAUUCCUUUUGAGAUGGAAGGAGACACCAUGGAGACGCCGGGUGGGCUUCCCCACGCGUAUCAGAAGGCGCUGAGUCAGCGGGAGCAGAACGUGCAGAUCUGGCAGAAAACUGUGAAGGAGGCAGGCCUGACCAAGGAUCAGAGGAAACAAUUCCAGAUCCUGGUAGAAACCAAAUUCUAUGAAUGGCUGGUUCAGACAGGGAACCGUCAGCAGCUGGAUAGCCUUGUCCCUCCUGCAGUAGGCUCCAAGCAGGCAGCAGGAUAGCAUCGUGUUCCUGUGCAGCAAAAGGAAAGGAAGGGUGAGUAGAAGGUCUGUUUCUCUUGAUUCUUCUCUAUCUAAAAGAAUUGUCCCAUGGUUGCGUGGGCAGCUUAGGCAGAAGCUGAAGAAGGAGGAGGAGGCUGUUCAUUCUCCCAAUAGCCUUGCAUUCGGUUUUCUUAUUUUGUGGUCAAAACCUCUUUUCAAUUUGAAUCUGUUCACUGUGUAGUCAGCACAUCGCUCAUUCUCUGUAGGUGUCCUGUAUGCUUUGUUGGAGAAUCUGUGUGCAUCUGUAAAGGCAGACAGGCAUAUUGUACAUAAUCUGAUGUAAAAAAACCCUGCUUUGAAUAGCUGCUCUUUCAAAGGGGCUCUGCAUUAAUGUCUGUACUUACUUGUCUCACUUUUUGCUUAAGAGAAUCAAGUGAGACUUCAGAUAAUUCUUACUUUGUAGUGUCUUUCUCUUCCCAAGCAGAAGUGGUUUAGGAACCAGAGAAAAGCCUUUAUCAUGCUUUUCAGCAAGUUCCAUGUGACUCAGAUGGGACACAGAAUUGGGACUGGACCUUGCUUGGGAAAUCAUUGCAGCCGAAGGGAUUCGCCAGAUGGACUCCAGCACACACCGAUGUGAUUAUCCAGGGACUCCCCUGGCGAACCCCUGGUUGUGAGUUCUGGGAACAGGCAGCGAAGUACUGAAAACAGUUCUCAUUAAGACUUUGUGGCCGUCCUGCCUGAACACACUUGGUGUGGAUCUGACAUCCACCCUCGAUGUGGAUUGGACUGUCUGGUUUAGGAUUUCUGAUUGCUGCCACUUUGCCAGGAGUGUGCUGCAACUAUUCUGUUGGUAACUGAGAAAGUGCAGGUUGCUAGAGGAUGAUGAAGUAUGCCUCCUUUAGUGAGGAGGCUGUCAUCAUGGCUAGUGUCCAUGGUGUGCAAGUAUCCAGCAAAGCAGCCUUUCCUGGUGCAAAGCUGGAUGCAGGGCCCUGGGCAUCACCUGCAUCUUUUUAUGGUACAAGCCAGCUGCACUGUUUUUGUGAAUGUGAAAAAGGAAUGUUUGAUUUUGUUAUGAAUGAAAUUCAAUUCAUUUUUUUUUUUUUUUAAAUUUAAAUUGAUUUAAAUUUAAAUUGAUUUUUUUUUUAAAUACGAAGAUGGCACUUAAGCAGUGUGAUUUUAUGGAAUUCGCUUCCUUAUAUGUUUGCAUGUUUUUGACAAAUGUCAAUAAAACAGAGUUCUUAGAUAA